AGCGAACGCUGGCGGCAGGCCUAACACAUGCAAGUCGAACGGAUCCUUCGGGAUUAGUGGCAGACGGGUGAGUAACACGUGGGAACGUGCCCUUUGGUUCGGAACAACUCAGGGAAACUUGAGCUAAUACCGGAUGUGCCCUUCGGGGGAAAGAUUUAUCGCCAUUGGAGCGGCCCGCGUCUGAUUAGCUAGUUGGUGAGGUAAAGGCUCACCAAGGCGACGAUCAGUAGCUGGUCUGAGAGGAUGAUCAGCCACAUUGGGACUGAGACACGGCCCAAACUCCUACGGGAGGCAGCAGUGGUGAAUCUUGCGCAAUGGGCGAAAGCCUGACGCAGCCAUGCCGCGUGAAUGAUGAAGGUCUUAGGAUUGUAAAAUUCUUUCACCGGGGACGAUAAUGACGGUACCCGGAGAAGAAGCCCCGGCUAACUUCGUGCCAGCCGCCGCGGUAA
rnacentral:rRNA from 1 species